rnacentral:rRNA from 1 species
AGAGUUUGAUUCUGGCUCAGAACGAACGCUGGCGGCGUGGAUAAGACAUGCAAGUCGAACGGGACAUUCCAGGUAGCAAUAUUUGAAAUGUUCAGUGGCGAACGGGUGCGUAACACGUGGAUUACAUUCCGGGAAGCGGGGGAUAGCCCAGGGAAACUUGGAUUAAUACCGCAUGUGGUCGAAAGACUAAAGGUGGGGACCGCAAGGCCUGCCACUUCCCGAUUGGUCCGCGCCCUAUCAGCUUGUUGGUGAGGUAAUGGCUCACCAAGGCUACGACGGGUAGCUGGUCUUAGAGGACGACCAGCCACACUGGAACUGAGACACGGUCCAGACACCUACGGGUGGCAGCAGUCGAGAAUCUUUCACAAUGGGGGCAACCCUGAUGGAGCGACGCCGCAUGCGAGAACAAGGUACCUAGGUUAAUAGCCUAGUUGUUUGAUGGUACCGCAAGAGGAAGAGACGGCUAACUCUGUGCCAGCAGCCGCGGUAAUACAGAGGUCUCAAGCGUUGUUCGGAAUCACUGGGCGUAAAGGGUGCGUAGGCUGCGCCGUAAGUCAGAUGUGAAAGCUCAGGGCUCAACCCUGAAAUUGCAUCCGAUACUGCGGUGCUCUAGAAAUGAAGAGGAGUCUAGAAUUUUCGGUGUAGCAGUGAAAUGCGUAGAUAUCGAAAGGAAUACCAAGGGCGAAGGCAGGACUCUGGGCAUUUUCUGACGCUGAUGCACGAAGGCCAGGGUAGCGAACGGGAUUAGAUACCCCGGUAGUCCUGGCAGUAAACGGUGCACGUUUGGUGUGGGGGGAUUCGACCCCUUCCGCGCCGGAGCUAACGCGUUAAACGUGCCGCCUGGGAAGUACGGUCGCAAGAUUAAAACUCAAAGAAAUUGACGGGGACCCGCACAAGCGGUGGAGUAUGUGGCUUAAUUCGAUGCAACGCGAAGAACCUUACCUGGGUUUGACAUGCACUGUGUCCCCGAUGAAAGUCGGGUAGCAUAGCAAUAUGCGCUUUGCACAGGUGCUGCAUGGCUGUCGUCAGCUCGUGUCGUGAGAUGUUGGGUUAAGUCCCGCAACGAGCGCAACCCCUGUGAUUUGUUGCCACCUGGUUUUCCAGAGCACUCGAAUCAGACUGCCUCGAUCAACGAGGAGGAAGGUGGGGACGACGUCAAGUCCGUAUGGCCCUUACACCCAGGGCUGCACACGUACUACAAUGCUCAGUACAAUGUGAACCGAUACCGCGAGGUGGAGGAAAUCCAUAAAAUUGAGCUCAGUUCAGAUUGUAGUCUGCAAUUCGACUACAUGAAGAUGGAAUCGCUAGUAAUGGCGCAUCAGCUACGGCGCCGUGAAUACGUUCCCGGGUCUUGUACACACCGCCCGUCACAUCAUGGAAGCCGGUUUCGCCCGAAGUGCGCAAGCCAACCGCAAGGAGGCAGCGCCCUAAGGCAAGACUGGUAACUGGGAUGAAGUCGUAACAAGGUA